CCCUUAGACGUUCUGGGCCGCACGCGCGCUACACUGACCAGUGCAACAAGCAUCCGUCCUUGGCCGACAGGCCCGGGCAAUCUUUGAACGCUGGUCGUGAUGGGGAUAGACUUUUGCAAUUUUUGGUCUUCAACGAGGAAUUCCUAGUAAACGCAAGUCAUCAACUUGCAUUGAUUACGUCCCUGCCCUUUGUACACACCGCCCGUCGCUCCUACCGAUUUCGAGUGGUCCGGUGAAUCUUUCGGACUGCGCGUGGCUUCGUGCCAUGUCGCGGAAAGUCAGGUAAACCUUAUCACUUAGAGGAAGGAGAAGUCGUAACA
rnacentral:rRNA from 1 species